rfam:Dracunculus medinensis genome assembly, scaffold: DME_contig0000025
UGCUGAGGUUCUCUUCCAUGCAGGAGUAAAUCUGUCAAAAAAUCCAGGUGAUGCUGUUGAUCCUGUAUUUUUAUCGCCAAAGGACUCCCUGGGAUAUUGCCCAAUGGAGCGAUUUGAAUCAGCAAUCUUUAAAUUAAAAAACUAAUAAUGAAUAUAAUAAAUAAAAAGGACCAAUGCUACUUCGAGGAAUAGUUGACUUAUUCAGAUGACUUUUAAAACCAAUCGAGCUUUAAAUGGCUCAUUAAUUGGUGACUCUGAAUAGCUUAGCUGAUCGCAUGGUCUAGUACCGGCGACAUAUCUAUCAAGUAUCUGCCUUAUCAACUUUCGAUGGUAGUUUAUGUGCCUACCAUGGUUGUAACGGGUAACGGAGAAUAAGGGUUCGACUCCGGAGAGGGAGCCUGAGAAACGGCUACCACUUCCAAAGAAGGCAGCAGGCGCGCAAAUUACCCACUCUCAGCAAGAGGAGGUAGUGACGAAAAAUAACGAGACCGUUCUCAUUGAGGCCGGUUAUCGGAAUGGGUACAAUUUAAAC